GGAGCGAGUAAAGCGGCGAACGGGUGAGUAAUACGUAAGAACCUACCCUAAAGUGGAGAAUACCCUCGAGAAAUCGAGGUUAAUACUGCAUACGUCCCUACGGGGAGAAAGAUGGCUUUUAUGCUGUCGCUUAAGGAUGGGCUUGCGGGCUAUUAGCUUGUUGGUGGGGUAAAGGCCUACCAAGGCGAUGAUGGCUAGUCGGCCUGAGAGGGUGAACGGCCACACUGGAACUGAGACACGGUCCAGACUCC
rnacentral:rRNA from 1 species